rnacentral:rRNA from 1 species
GAUGAACGCUGGCGGCGUGCCUAAUACAUGCAAGUCGAACGCUGAAGGAGGAGCUUGCUCUUCUGGAUGAGUUGCGAACGGGGGAGUAACGCGUAGGUAACCUGCCUGGCAGCGGGGGAUAACUAUUGGAAACGAUAGCUAAUACCGCAUGACAACAGUUAUUGCAUGAUAACUGUUUAAAAGGGGCAACUGCUCCACUACCAGAUGGACAUGCGUUGUAUUAGCUAGAUGGUGAGGUAACGGCUGACCAAGGCGACGAUACAUAGCCGACGCGCGAGGGGGCGCGGCCACGCUGGGAUGGGGGCACGGCCCAGACUCCUUCGGGAGGCAGCCGUAGGGGAUCUUCGGCAAAGGCCGGAAGUCGGACCGAGCAACGCCGCGUGAGUGAAGGAGGUUUUCGGGUCGUGAAACUCAUUUAUGAGAGAAGGACGAGUAUGAGAGUUAAAAGUUCACACUGUGACGGUACCUUAACAAUAAGCGACGGCUAACUACGUG